GGUCGACGGCGGCGACACACCCGGCGUCCCAAAUAUGAUGGUGAGAUGCCAUAAAUCUUUCUUGUCUUGUUGUGGCAGGAAGUAUUUAAGUACUGCUUUUUGCUAGCUCGCUUCGAUACGAAACCAAAAGUAAGUACAAUGUCCCUAAUGCUAAAUGUGCAAUGCAAUGGCCGGAAAUUGUUCCACAGCGGACGGAUUCCUAUUCCUCAGACCCUGCCGCCAGCUUCCCAACGAAGCCAAAGGAAUCUCUUCUCUUUCGAGUCGUGUGACCAAGACGUCCGAGCAGCGGAGGCGAGACCUGAUGCUGGGGUUCCACAGCGAGGCGUCCACCGCGGGCAACAUAAUGGGCCGCAUGUCAUGCAUAUAUAUAGAAUUUGUUUUUGUUUUUUAUUUAAUAUUCAAAUUUUGAUUUUGAUUUCAAUUAAAUUUAUUUAUUUAUUUUAUUCUUUCUAGAAUACUAUUUAUUUAUUUUAUGGAAUGUAUUAGAUCCGAGUCAUGAAUAUCAUGGAUAUAGAGAACCAAGUAUGACUUGGGUGCUCGGCUAGCCAGGUGUGCUAGUAGCUCACCAAAGUUCGAUCCUCGAAGGUAGCACUUUGGUGUCUCACUUUGUAAAUAUAUAUAUGUACUAGUAUAGUGCCCGUGCGUUGUCACGGACUCUUAAACACAAACGCCUUACACUAACAAAGAGAUCAUAAAAAAUUCUUGCUACUUCAGCUAAUUAGCAAAGAAGAGAAAGAGUACCGAUCCGGAGGCUUGAGGGGGCCACCGGAGGUGCGGGAGGCAGUGCACAACUGAUUUGGCGGCGCGCGUGCGGAUUUGAGGUCGGGCUCAGCAUCUUGCGCGCAUCAGGGACGGACGAAGCGAUUUUUUCUUUCGGACUUGUGGUUCGGUGGGCUGAACAGGUCCCCCCAAUUGGGCUGCACCUAGGUCGAAGCCCAAAUCGCGCGACGGACGACGACUGUCGAAAGAAACACUAUUCCCUUUAUUGGGAGCGGAUUUGGCGGCGCGUGCGGAUUUGAGGUCGGGUUCACAAUCUCGCG
rnacentral:lncRNA from 1 species